GGAACUGAGGCCAAUAGCGGAUAUCACUCUCAGGCUGGAGUGCCGAGAGUGAGAAACGUUCCGGCGCUGUAGGAUGUGGCUGCGGCCGAUUAGGUAGAUGGUGGGGUAACGGCCCACCAUGCCGAUAAUCGGUACAGGUUGUGAGAGCAAGAGCCUGGAGACGGUAUCUGAGACAAGAUACCGGGCCCUACGGGGCGCAGCAGGCGCGAAACCUUUACACUGCACGACAGUGCGAUAGGGGGACUCCGAGUGUGAGGGCAUAUAGCCCUCGCUUUUCUGAACCGUAAGGUGGUACAGGAACAAGGACUGGGCAAGACCGGUGCCAGCCGCCGCGGUAAUACCGGCAGUCCAAGUGAUGGCCGAUAUUAUUGGGCCUAAAGCGUCCGUAGCUUGCUGUGUAAGUCCAUUGGGAAAUCGACCAGCUCAACUGGUCGGCGUCCGGUGGAAACUACACAGCUUGGGGCCGAGAGACUCAACGGGUACGUCCGGGGUAGGAGUGAAAUCCUGUAAUCCUAGACGGACCACCAAUGGGGAAACCACGUUGAGAGACCGGACCCGACAGUGAGGGACGAAAGCCAGGGUCUCGAACCGGAUUAGAUACCCGGGUAGUCCUGGCUGUAAACAAUGCUCGCUAGGUAUGUCACGCGCCAUGAGCAUGUGAUGUGCCGUAGUGAAGACGAUAAGCGAGCCGCCUGGGAAGUACGUCCGCAAGGAUGAAACUUAAAGGAAUUGGCGGGGGAGCACCACAACCGGAGGAGCCUGCGGUUUAAUUGGACUCAACGCCGGACAUCUCACCGGUCCCGACAGUAGUAAUGACAGUCAGGUUGACGACUUUACUCGACGCUACUGAGAGGAGGUGCAUGGCCGCCGUCAGCUCGUACCGUGAGGCGUCCUGUUAAGUCAGGCAACGAGCGAGACCCACACUUCUAGUUGCCAGCAACACCCCUGCGGUGGUUGGGUACACUAGGAGGACUGCCAUUGCUAAAAUGGAGGAAGGAAUGGGCAACGGUAGGUCAGUAUGCCCCGAAUGGACCGGGCAACACGCGGGCUACAAUGGCUAUGACAGUGGGAUGCGACGCCGAGAGGCGAAGCUAAUCUCCAAACGUAGUCGUAGUUCGGAUUGCGGGCUGAAACCCG
rnacentral:rRNA from 1 species